rfam:Peptococcaceae bacterium BRH_c23 BRHa_1003871, whole genome shotgun sequence.
GAAGUGACCUGCCCGGUAGUCAACAGCCGGAAGCGAGUCUUGCAUGUUAGGAAGCAUUUCUAGUGUGAAGCGUAGACAGCAAGUACAAAAGCUGUGUGAUUGAGCCUCGAUCGCAGCCCAUAAACC